UACGUAGGGUGCGAGCGUUGUCCGGAAUUAUUGGGCGUAAAGAGCUCGUAGGUGGUUUGUCGCGUUGUCCGUGAAAACUCACAGCUCAACUGUGGGCGUGCGGGCGAUACGGGCAGACUGGAGUACUGCAGGGGAGACUGGAAUUCCUGGUGUAGCGGUGGAAUGCGCAGAUAUCAGAAGGAACACCGGUGGCGAAAGGCGGGACUCUGGGCCGAUACUGACGCUGAGGAGCGAAAGCGUGGGGAGCAAACAGG
rnacentral:rRNA from 1 species